GUCUAUGGCCAUGCCACCCUGAAUGUGUCCAAUCUUGUCUACAUCUCUGAAGCUAAGCAGGAUCAGGCCUGGUUAGUACUUGGAUGAGAGAAGUCAGAGAAGCCAGGUAUGGUAGUGC
rnacentral:rRNA from 1 species